UGUAGCUCAGUGGUACAGCAUGUGUCUAACAUGCACAAGGCCCUGGGUUCAAACCCCACCA
rnacentral:tRNA from 1 species